GAUGAACGCCAGCGGCAGGCCUAACACAUGCAAGUCGAGGGGCAGCACAGAAACAGCAAUGUUUUGGUGGCGACCGGCGGACGGGUGCGUAACGCGUAUGCAACCUACCUUUAACAGGGGGAUAACGGAGAGAAAUUUCCACUAAUACCCCAUAACAUCGAUCAAGGCAUCUUGAUUGGUUGAAAACUCCGGUGGUUAAAGAUGGGCAUGCGUUGUAUUAGGUAGUUGGUGAGGUAAUGGCUCAACAAGCCUACGAUACAUAGGGGGACUGAGAGGUUAGCCCCCCACACUGGUACUGAGACACGGACCAGACUCCUACGGGAGGCAGCAGUGAGGAAUAGUGGUCAAUGGGGGCAACCCUGAACCAGCCAUGCCGCGUGCAGGAAGACGGCUCUAUGAGUUGUAAACUGCUUUUAAACAGGGAUAAAGCACAGUAUGUAUACUGUGUUGAAGGUACUGUAAGAAUAAGGAUCGGCUAACUCCGUGCCAGCCGCCGCCGUAA
rnacentral:rRNA from 1 species